rnacentral:rRNA from 1 species
UACGGGGGGGCAAGCGUUGUUCGGAAUUACUGGGCGUAAAGGGCUCGUAGGCGGCCAACUAAGUCAGACGUGAAAUCCCAGGCUCAACCUGGGAACUGCGUCUGAUACUGGAUGGCUUGAAUCCGGGAGAGGGAUGCAGAAUUCCAGGUGUAGCGGUGAAAUGCGUAGAUAUCUGGAGGAAUACCGGUGGCGAAGGCGGCAUCCUGGACCGGCAUUGACGCUGAGGAGCGAAAGCCAGGGGAGCAAAGCGGG